GAUAAACGCUGGCGGCGCACAUAAGACAUGCAAGUCGAACGGACUUAACCAUUAGUUUACUAUUGGAGCGGUUAGUGGCGGACUGGUGAGUAACGCGUAAGCAAUCUGCCUAUCAGAGGGGAAUAACAGUGAGAAAUCAUUGCUAAUACCGCAUAAGCUUUGAGUAUCGCAUGAUACAAAAAGAAAAGGAGCAAUCCGCUGAUAGAUGAGCUUGCGUCUGAUUAGUUAGUUGGUGAGGUAAAGGCCCACCAAGACGAUGAUCAGUAGCCGGACUGAGAGGUUGAACGGCCACAUUGGGACUGAGAUACGGCCCAG
rnacentral:rRNA from 1 species